rnacentral:rRNA from 1 species
UACGUAGGUGGCAAGCGUUGUCCGGAUUUAUUGGGUUUAAAGGGUGCGUAGGUGGCCCUGUAAGUCAGUGGUGAAAUAUCUCAGCUUAACUGAGAGGGUGCCAUUGAUACUGCAGGGCUUGAGUACAGAUGAGGUAGGCGGAAUUGACGGUGUAGCGGUGAAAUGCAUAGAUAUCGUCAAGAACACCGAUAGCGAAGGCAGCUUACCAAGCUGUAACUGACACUGAGGCACGAAAGUGCGGGGAUCAAACAGG